rnacentral:rRNA from 1 species
UACAGAGGUCCCAAGCGUUGUUCGGAUUCACUGGGCGUAAAGGGUGCGUAGGUGGUCAGGUAAGUCGGAUGUGAAAGCUCGGAGCUCAACUCCGAAAUGGCAUUGGAAACUACCUGGCUCGAGGGAUGGAGGGGGACUGGAAUUCUCGGUGUAGCAGUGAAAUGCGUAGAUAUCGAGAGGAACACCAGUGGCGAAGGCGAGUCCCUGGACAACACCUGACACUGAGGCACGAAAGCUAGGGGAGCAAACAGG